GAUGAAGAACGUAGCGAAAUGCGAUAAGUAGUGUGAAUUGCAGAAUUCAGUGAAUCAUCGAAUCUUUGAACGCAUAUUGCGCUCUCUGGUAUUCCGGAGAGCAUGCUUGUUUGAGUAUCAGUAAACACCUCAACUUCCAUAUCUUUUUUGAAAUGGGAGUUGGACUUGAGUGAUCCCAACGCUUUUCCUCACCGAAAAGUGGCGGGUUACUUGAAAUGCAGGUGCAGCUGGACUUUUCUCUGAGCUAUAAGCAUAUCUAUUUAGUCUGCCUAAAAAACAGAUUAUUACCUUUGCUGCAGCUAACAUAAAGGAGAUUAGUUCUUGUGCUGACUGAUGCAGGAUUCACAAAGACAGGCUUCGGCCGACUUUGUAAACUCGAUCUCAAAUCAAGUAAGACUACCCGCUGAACUUAAGCAUAUCAAUAAGCGGAGGA
rnacentral:misc_RNA from 1 species